GACGAACGCUGGCGGCGUGCCUAAUACAUGCAAGUCGAAGCUAGUGGCGGACGGGUGAGUAACACGUGGGUAACUACCCAUCAGAGGGGGAUAACUAUUGGAAACGAUAGCUAAUACCGCAUACUACCAGAUGGACCUGCGUUGUAUUAGCUAGUUGGUGGGGUAACGGCUCACCAAGGCAAAGAUACAUAGCCGACCUGAGAGGGUGAUCGGCCACACUGGGACUGAGACACGGCCCAGACUCCUACGGGAGGCAGCAGUAGGGAAUCUUCGGCAAUGGACGGAAGUCUGACCGAGCAACGCCGCGUGAGUGAAGAAGGUUUUCGGAUCGUAAAGCUCUGUUGUAAGAGAAGCGGUAUCUGACCAGAAAGGGACGGCUAACUACGUGCCAGCAGCCGCGGUAAUAC
rnacentral:rRNA from 1 species